UACGUAGGGGGCGAGCGUUGUCCGGAUUUAUUGGGCGUAAAGAGCGUGUAGGCGGCCAGGUAGGUCAGCUGUGAAAACUCGAGGCUCAACCUCGAGAUGUCGGCUGAAACCAUCUGGCUAGAGUCCGGAAGAGGAGAAUGGAAUUCCCGGUGUAGCGGUGAAAUGCGCAGAUAUCGGGAGGAACAUCAGUGGCGAAGGCGGCUGCCUGGCCCAAUACUGACACUCAGGUGCGACAGCGUGGGGAGCAAACAGG
rnacentral:rRNA from 1 species